AACGAACGCUGGCGGCGUGCUUAAUACAUGCAAGUCGAACGAGAACGCCCGACUUCGGUUGGGUUAUUAAAGUGGCGAACGGGUGAGUAACACGUGGGUAAUCUGCCCUUGAGUUGGGGAUAAGCCUUCGAAAGGGGGUCUAAUACCGAAUGAUAUCUUUGGAUGGCAUCUUCCAAAGAUUAAAGGCGGGGCAACCUGCCGCUUGGGGAUGAGCCCGCGCUCCAUUAGCUUGUUGGUGGGGUAAAAGCCCACCAAGGCCGUGAUGGAUAGCCGGCCUGAGAGGGUGAUCGGCCACACUGGGACUGAGAUACGGCCCAGACUCCUACGGGAGGCAGCAGUAGGGAAUAUUGCGCAAUGGACGAAAGUCUGACGCAGCAACGCCGCGUGGAUGAAGAAGCUCCUUGGAGUGUAAAAUCCUGUCAGUGGGGAAGAACAAACCGAAGAGUAACUACUUCGGUCCUGACGGUACCCGCAGAGGAAGUUCCGGCCAACUCCGUG
rnacentral:rRNA from 1 species